AGAGUUUGAUCCUGGCUCAGAUUGAACGCUGGCGGCAUGCCUUACACAUGCAAGUCGAACGGCAGCACGAGAGCUUGCUCUUGGUGGCGAGUGGCGAACGGGUGAGUAAUAUAUCGGAACGUACCCUAGAGUGGGGGAUAACGUAGCGAAAGUUACGCUAAUACCGCAUACGAUCUACGGAUGAAAGUGGGGGAUCGCAAGACCUCAUGCUCAUGGAGCGGCCGAUAUCUGAUUAGCUAGUUGGUGGGGUAAAAGCUCACCAAGGCGACGAUCAGUAGCUGGUCUGAGAGGACGACCAGCCACACUGGAACUGAGACACGGUCCAGACUCCUACGGGAGGCAGCAGUGGGGAAUUUUGGACAAUGGGCGCAAGCCUGAUCCAGCAAUGCCGCGUGAGUGAAGAAGGCCUUCGGGUUGUAAAGCUCUUUUGUCAGGGAAGAAACGGUGGACUCUAAUACAGAUCACUAAUGACGGUACCUGAAGAAUAAGCACCGGCUAACUACGUGCCAGCAGCCGCGGUAAUACGUAGGGUGCAAGCGUUAAUCGGAAUUACUGGGCGUAAAGCGUGCGCAGGCGGUUGUGCAAGACAGAUGUGAAAUCCCCGGGCUCAACCUGGGAAUUGCAUUUGUGACUGCACGGCUAGAGUGUGUCAGAGGGGGGUAGAAUUCCACGUGUAGCAGUGAAAUGCGUAGAGAUGUGGGGGAAUACCGAUGGCGAAGGCAGCCCCCUGGGAUAACACUGACGCUCAUGCACGAAAGCGUGGGGAGCAAACAGGAUUAGAUACCCUGGUAGUCCACGCCCUAAACGAUGUCUACUAGUUGUCGGGUCUUAAUUGACUUGGUAACGCAGCUAACGCGUGAAGUAAACCGCCUGGGGAGUACGGUCGCAAGAUUAAAACUCAAAGGAAUUGACGGGGACCCGCACAAGCGGUGGAUGAUGUGGAUUAAUUCGAUGCAACGCGAAAAACCUUACCUACCCUUGACAUGUCUGGAAUCCUUGAGAGAUCAGGGAGUGCUCGAAAGAGAAUCAGAACACAGGUGCUGCAUGGCUGUCGUCAGCUCGUGUCGUGAGAUGUUGGGUUAAGUCCCGCAACGAGCGCAACCCUUGUCAUUAGUUGCUACGAAAGGGCACUCUAAUGAGACUGCCGGUGACAAACCGGAGGAAGGUGGGGAUGACGUCAAGUCCUCAUGGCCCUUAUGGGUAGGGCUUCACACGUCAUACAAUGGUACAUACAGAGGGCCGCCAACCCGCGAGGGGGAGCUAAUCCCAGAAAGUGUAUCGUGGUCCGGAUUGUAGUCUGCAACUCGACUACAUGAAGUUGGAAUCGCUAGUAAUCGCGGAUCAGCAUGUCGCGGUGAGUACGUUCCCGGGUCUUGUACACACCGCCCGUCACACCAUGGGAGCGGGUUUCACCAGAAGUGGGUAGCCUAACCGCAAGGAGGGCGCUCACCACGGUGGGAUUCGUGACUGGGGUGAAGUCGUAACAAGGUA
rnacentral:rRNA from 1 species